rnacentral:rRNA from 1 species
GGGUGAGUAACGCGUGAGAACUGCCUUCUGGUCUGGGACAACAGAGGGAAACUUCUGCUAAUCCCGGAUAAGCCUACGGGUGAAAGAUUAAUUGCCUGGAGAUGAGCUCGCGUCUGAUUAGCUAGUUGGUAAGGUAAAAGCUUACCAAGGCGACGAUCAGUAGCUGGUCUGAGAGGAUGAGCAGCCACACUGGGACUGAGACACGCCCAGACUCCUACGGGAGGCAGCAGUGGGGAAUUUUCCGCAAUGGGCGAAAGCCUGACGGAGCAAGACCGCGUGGGGGAGGAAGGCUCUAGGGUUGUAAACCCCUUUUCUUUGGGAAGAAGUACUGACGGUACCAAAGGAAUCAGCCUCGGCUAACUCCGUGCCAGCAGCCGCGGUAAUACGGAGGAGGCAAGCGUUAUCCGGAAUGAUUGGGCGUAAAGCGUCCGCAGGUGGCCAUGUAAGUCUGCUGUCAAAACCCAGGGCUUAACUCUGGUUAGGCAGUGGAAACUACAAAGCUAGAGUCUGGUAGGGGCCAAGGGAAUUCCCGGUGUAGCGGUGAAAUGCGUAGAGAUCGGGAAGAACAUCGGUGGCGAAAGCGCUUGGCUAGACCAGAACUGACACUCAGGGACGAAAGCUAGGGGAGCGAAUGGGAUUAGAUACCCCAGUAGUCCUAGCUGUAAACGAUGGAUACUAGGUGUUGCCUGUAUCGACCCGGGCAGUGCCGUAGCUAACGCGUUAAGUAUCCCGCCGGAGUACGCACGCAAGUGUGAAACUCAAAGGAAUUGACGGGGGCCCGCACAAGCGGUGGAGUAUGUGGUUUAAUUCGAUGCAACGCGAAGAACCUUACCAGGGCUUGACAUGUCGCGAAUCUAGGGGAAACCUUGGAGUGCCUUCGGGAGCGCGAACACAGGUGGUGCAUGGCUGUCGUCAGCUCGUGUCGUGAGAUGUUGGGUUAAGUCCCGCAACGAGCGCAACCCUCGUCUUUAGUUGCCAGCAUUAAGUUGGGCACUCUGAAGAGACUGCCGGUGACAAACCGGAGGAAGGGAUGACGUCAAGUCAGCAUGCCCCUUAGCCCUGGGCUACACACGUACUACAAUGGUCUGGACAGAGGGUAGCCAACCCGCGAGGGUGAGCCAAUCCCUAAAACCAGGCCUCAGUUCAGAUUGCAGGCUGCAACUCGCCUGCAUGAAGUCGGAAUCGCUAGUAAUCGGGUCAGCAACUGCGGUGAAUCCGUUCCCGGGCCUUGUACACACCGCCCGUCACACCAUGGAAGUUGCACGCCCGAAGUCAUUACUCUAACCCGUAAGGGAGGGGGAUGCCGAAGGCAGGGCUGAUACUGG